rnacentral:lncRNA from 1 species
GGGGUGACUUUUUUCAUAUUAUUUCAUGCGUUUCAAUUUAUGUAAAAAGACUUUCAGAGAAGAAAAUCAUUAUACUGAUAGGCAAAGGCGAAUCCAUGAUUUCAUAUUAUUCCAUGCCUUUCAAUUUAUAAAUUUACAUUCAAAUAUUUAUAGAUAUUUAUUAAUGAAUAUGUUAAUGCAUAUAUAAGAUUUGAAUAAAAACUAUAUAUUGAAUUCCCGUGAACUCACUUGCAGUCCUCUGAAUCUGC